UGGGGAAUAUUGCACAAUGGGCGCAAGCCUGAUGCAGCCAUGCCGCGUGUAUGAAGAAGGCCUUCGGGUUGUAAAGUACUUUCAGUCGGGAGGAAGGUGUCAAGGUUAAUAACCUUGGCAAUUGACGUUACCGACAGAAGAAGCACCGGCUAACUCCGUGCCAGCAGCCGCGGUAAUACGGAGGGUGCAAGCGUUAAUCGGAAUUACUGGGCGUAAAGCGCACGCAGGCGGUUGAUUGAGUCAGAUGUGAAAUCCCCGGGCUCAACCUGGGAACUGCAUUCGAAACUGGCAGGCUAGAGUCUUGUAGAGGGGGGUAGAAUUCCAGGUGUAGCGGUGAAAUGCGUAGAGAUCUGGAGGAAUACCGGUGGCGAAGGCGGCCCCCUGGACAAAGACUGACGCUCAGGUGCGAAAGCGUGGGGAGCAAACAGG
rnacentral:rRNA from 1 species